UGCUCAGGAUGAACGCUAGCGGCAGGCCUAAUACAUGCAAGUCGAACGGACUAAGAGGCUUCGGUCUCUUGGUUAGUGGCGCACGGGUGCGUAACGCGUAUGCAACCUACCUUCCACUGGGGGAUAGCCCACCGAAAGGUGGAUUAAUACCGCAUAACACAACAGCACGGCAUCGUGCAAUUGUUAAAGCUUCGGCGGUGGAAGAUGGGCAUGCGUGCCAUUAGCUAGUUGGCGGGGUAAAGGCCCACCAAGGCGACGAUGGCUAGGGGUUCUGAGAGGAUGGUCCCCCACACUGGUACUGAGACACGGACCAGACUCCUACGGGAGGCAGCAGUAGGGAAUAUUGGGCAAUGGCCGAGAGGCUGACCCAGCCAUGCCGCGUGCAGGAAGAAGGCCUUCUGGGUUGUAAACUGCUUUUAUCUAGGAAGAAAACGCCCAUGCGUGGGUAACUGACGGUACUAGAUGAAUAAGCACCGGC
rnacentral:rRNA from 1 species